UAGGGAAUCUUCGGCAAUGGGGGGAACCCUGACCGAGCAACGCCGCGUGAGUGAAGAAGGUUUUCGGAUCGUAAAGCUCUGUUGUUAAGGAAGAACGAGUGUGAGAAUGGAAAGUUCAUGCUGUGACGGCACUUAACCAGAAAGGGACGGCUAACUACGUGCCAGCAGCCGCGGUAAUACGUAGGUCCCGAGCGUUGUCCGGAUUUAUUGGGCGUAAAGCGAGCGCAGGCGGUUAGAAAAGUCUGAAGUGAAAGGCAGUGGCUCAACCAUUGUAGGCUUUGGAAACUGUUUAACUUGAGUGCAGAAGGGGAGAGUGGAAUUCCAUGUGUAGCGGUGAAAUGCGUAGAUAUAUGGAGGAACACCGGUGGCGAAAGCGGCUCUCUGGUCUGUAACUGACGCUGAGGCUCGAAAGCGUGGGGAGCGAACAGG
rnacentral:rRNA from 1 species